rnacentral:rRNA from 1 species
GUGGGGAAUAUUGGACAAUGGGCGAAAGCCUGAUCCAGCCAUGCCGCGUGUGUGAAGAAGGUCUUCGGAUUGUAAAGCACUUUAAGUUGGGAGGAAGGGCAGUAAGUUAAUACCUUGCUGUUUUGACGUUACCGACAGAAUAAGCACCGGCUAACUUCGUGCCAGCAGCCGCGGUAAUACGAAGGGUGCAAGCGUUAAUCGGAAUUACUGGGCGUAAAGCGCGCGUAGGUGGUUUUGUAAGUUGGAGGUGAAAUCCCUGGGCUCAACCGUGGAACUGCCUCCAAAACUGCAUGACUAGAGUACGGUAGAGGGUAGUGGAAUUUCCUGUGUAGCGGUGAAAUGCGUAGAUAUAGGAAGGAACACCAGUGGCGAAGGCGACUACCUGGACUGAUACUGACACUGAGGUGCGAAAGCGUGGGGAGCAAACAGGAUUAGAUACCCCUGUAUCC